rnacentral:rRNA from 1 species
CUAUCGGGGUUUGAUUAAGCCAUGCGAGUCGAGAGGGUUUUGGCCCUCGGCGAACUGCUCAGUAACACGUGGAUAAUCUACCCUGGGGAGGAGGAUACUCCCGGGAAACUGGGGUUAAUACUCCAUAGCAAUGAUGCACUGGAAUGUCAUCGUUGCGAAAGAUCCGUCGCCCCAGGAUGAGUCUGCGUCCGAUUAGGUAGUUGUUGGGGUUACUGCCCAACAAGCCGAUAAUCGGUACGGGUUGUGGGAGCAAGAGCCCGGAGAUGGAUUCUGAGACACGAAUCCAGGCCCUACGGGGCGCAGCAGGCGCGAAACCUUUACAAUGCGGGCAACCGUGAUAAGGAAACCCCGAGUGCCCGUAAGAGCGGGCUGUCCAUCUGUUUAACCAGCAGGUGAAGAAAGGGCCGGGCAAGACCGGUGCCAGCCGCCGCGGUAAUACCGGCGGCUCGAGUGGUGGCCACUUUUAUUGGGCUUAAAGCGUCCGUAGCUUGGUUGUUAAGUCUCUUGGGAAAUCUCACGGCUCAACCGUGAGGCGUCUAAGGGAUACUGGCAACCUAGGGACCGGAAGAGGUGAGAGGUACUCCAGGGGGUAGGAGUGAAAUCCUGUAAUCCUUGGGGGGACCACCUGUGGGCGAAGGCGUCUCACCAGGACGGCUCCGACAGUGAGGGACGAAAGCUGGGGG